rnacentral:rRNA from 1 species
CAGCAGCCACGGGAAUACGAAGGGGGCUAGCGUUGCUCGGAAUUACUGGGCGUAAAGGGCGCGUAGGCGGAUGAUUAAGUCGAGGGCGAAAGCCCGGGGCUCAACCUCGGAACUGCCUUUGAUACUGGUCAUCUUGAGUACGGGAGAGGUGUGUGGAACUCCGAGUGUAGAGGUGAAAUUCGUAGAUAUUCGGAAGAACACCAGUGGCGAAGGCGACACACUGGCCCGUUACUGACGCUGAGGCGCGAAAGCGUGGGGAGCAAACAGGAUUAGAUACCCGGGUAGUCCCUGUCUCUUAUAC